CUGAUAACACUGCAUCCAAGGUGAAUGCUUCAAAUACUACAAGUUUGUGCAGAUUUUCUUCAUUUUAUAAAUACCCACCAUCAGGCUAAUCUUCGUAUUGUCGCUUCCGCAUGCACCCCGAUGGACGGCAGAGCAACAAAAGACCCUAUCAUGACUAACACUUCUGCAUCAGUCAAUAGACCCACAUCAUCAUUACAUCCUGGGGCGGUAUACGGCGACCACCGUCUAAAUCGAUUAGGUACAAUCAAAUCAGUUCUGUCUGGUAAUAUCACAGCCAACCGACUCAAGCAACAACGAGUGUCACUCAAGUUG
ensembl:lncRNA